rnacentral:rRNA from 1 species
UGGGGAAUUUUGGACAAUGGGGGAAACCCUGAUCCAGCCAUCCCGCGUGUGCGAUGAAGGCCUUCGGGUUGUAAAGCACUUUUGGCAGGAAAGAAACGUCAUGGGUUAAUACCCCGUGAAACUGACGGUACUUGCAGAAUAAGCACCGGCUAACUACGUGCCAGCAGCCGCGGUAAUACGUAGGGUGCAAGCGUUAAUCGGAAUUACUGGGCGUAAAGCGUGCGCAGGCGGUUCGGAAAGAAAGAUGUGAAAUCCCAGAGCUCAACUUAGGAACUGCAUUUUUAACUACCGUGCUAGAGUGUGUCAGAAGGAGGUGGAAUUCCGCGUGUAGCAGUGAAAUGCGUAGAUAUGCGGAGGAACACCGAUGGCGAAGGCAGCCUCCUGGGAUAACACUGACGCUCAUGCACGAAAGCGUGGGGAGCAAACAGG